CAGUUUAAUAAUUGAAACAAAGUAAAAUAUAAUAACAAUAAUUAUAAUAAGAAAUAGAGAGAGAGAGGAAUAAAACAACCAACCAACAACAAAAGUAACAAGUGAUGCACAAUACAAUUGCUCACCACUCACUGACCAAUGCCCAGCCUGUUCCCAAGCAGUGAUCAGCAGCUCCCAGCCAGCUUCCCUGGUUUCUAUACUGGGCAUGACGUGCUGUGGUAUGGAAUACCCCUUUGGCUAGUUUGGGUCAGGUGUCCUGCCUCUGCUUCCUCCCGGCUUCUUGUGCCCCUCCUCACUGGUAGAGCAUGAGAGACUGAAAAGUCCUUGAUCAGGGUAAGUGCUACUGAGCAACAACUAAAACACUGGUGUGUUACCAGCAUUGUUCUCAGGCUAAAGCCAAAACACAGCACUGCACCAGCUACUAAGAAAAAAACCCCAAAGCUCUACCCCAUCUGAAACCAGGACAUACAGAAAUAACCUGCAAGAAGUUACAGGGAAGCAUUCAGGUCAGUAACCAACACUGCUUGGAAAAGAGUGCAAAAUGUAGUGUCUUUCAUACUGAACACCUAAAUUAGCCUGAUGUCCAACCUAACAUCACCUGUGACCUGAGUUUUACAAAGGAUUGCCAAAUUCUCUAAUGGAAGACAACAUUUUCCAAAUGGUUGUCAGACAGGCUCUCUACUUGCCAGAAUUUCCUGCAACCAAACGUUUUCUUAUAUUGCCAUCCACCUGGAAUUCAGUCCUGGAAUGGGCAGUGUCUGGACAAGAGGAACACUCACCCCUUACACUUCCUUGCAAGACAGUUAGCUACUCAGACAACACCCUUGCAGCCCUGCAAGUGUCCCUUGCACCUCUGCUUCCUGAUAUGACUAACUCAACAGUCCCAGUGAGCACAGAGAAAGCCCUCCAUGGCAUAGACCGAAGCCUGUAUUUUAUAACAUUUUCAGCCAAACUCAGUGAACCACAAGUGUCGCAGGAAAAACCCAAAAUAUCAAGGUAUUUGAACAAACAGGAUUUUUGUUGCUUGCCCAAAUCAGUCCCUUCUGUUCUUCAAGCCGGGACCAAGACUUGUUGCCCCAUACCACAGCCACCAGCACCAAGAGUGAUACUUCAAGGCUGGGAUGCCAAGCAGCUAGAACAGACACACACACCACAACAGGAAGGAUGGUAAAUGCCCUUACCAUGCCUGGGAGUGUAGGGUGAUCCAAGUACGAGUAUCUUAGACCACAUCUAGACUUCUGUGUCCAGGUUUGGGCCACAGGAAAGACAACAUGAUUAAUAUGUGCUGAGCAAGUUCAGUAGAAGGCCACCAAGAAAGUAAUCCAAAAUUAUCAUGGACUGACUGCUGUGUUGGCUGGACAUUCCUAGCAGAGACAAAGACCAGCCCACAGUACAGUACUGCACUGCACUGCACUGCCCUGCAUGCCUCCUCAGAAACCCGGGCUGGCAGCCUCUCUUCAUACUGCAACCCCCUACCUCCUCUGCCUCAGCGAAGAAAGUCCCCUCCUCUCCAGCAGUCCCUCUCUCAGGUUCCACAGCCUCAUACAGACAACCACACCUUCAUUUAAACCUUCCUCCUCUUCCUCUUUACCCACACGCACCAUCCUUAGCAACAGUGCUGUGUUGCCCCUCAGUAAGCCGCACUGGGGUUCAGGUUAGCCCAGGUGCGUCACACGUGCCCCGGUACCUAAGCAGUUAUGGACUGGCGCGGCUGGGCAGACCCAGGAGCGCGGGUAAGGUGCCGGGGAUACCCCGGGGCGCGCACGGGCCUUGCCCC
rnacentral:lncRNA from 1 species